UACGAAGGGGGCUAGCGUUGCUCGGAAUUACUGGGCGUAAAGCGCACGUAGGCGGCUUCUUAAGUCGGUGGUGAAAUCCUGGAGCUCAACUCCAGAACUGCCUUCGAUACUGGGAUGCUCGAGUCCGGGAGAGGUGAGUGGAACUGCGAGUGUAGAGGUGAAAUUCGUAGAUAUUCGCAAGAACACCAGUGGCGAAGGCGGCUCACUGGCCCGGUACUGACGCUGAGGUGCGAAAGCGUGGGGAGCAAACAGG
rnacentral:rRNA from 1 species